UACGUAGGGUGCGAGCGUUAAUCGGAAUUACUGGGCGUAAAGCGUGCGCAGGCGGUGCACCAAGCUCGAUGUGAAAGCCCCGGGCUUAACCUGGGAAUUGCAUUGAGGACUGGUGUGCUCGAGUGCGGCAGAGGGGGGUGGAAUUCCACGUGUAGCAGUGAAAUGCGUAGAUAUCAGGAGGAACACCCGUGGUGUAGACGGCCUGCUGGACCGUGACUGACGCUGAGGCACGAAAGCGUGGGGAGCAAACAGG
rnacentral:rRNA from 1 species